rnacentral:rRNA from 1 species
UACGUAGGGCGCAAGCGUUGUCCGGAAUUAUUGGGCGUAAAGAGCUCGUAGGUGGUGUGUCGCGUCUGCCGUGAAAGCCCGGGGCUUAACUCCGGGUCUGCGGUGGAUACGGGCAGACUAGAAGCAGGUAGGGGAGAACGGAAUUCCCGGUGUAGCGGUGAAAUGCGCAGAUAUCAGGAAGAACACCCGUGGCGAAGGCGGCUCUCUGGGACGGUACUGACGCUGAGACGCGAAAGCGUGGGGAGCGAACAGG